UACGUAGGGUGCGAGCGUUGUCCGGAAUUAUUGGGCGUAAAGAGCUCGUAGGCGGUGUGUCACGUCGGCCGUGAAAACCUGCAGCUUAACUGUGGGCGUGCGGUCGAUACGGGCAUCACUGGAGUUCGGCAGGGGAGACUGGAAUUCCUGGUGUAGCGGUGAAAUGCGCAGAUAUCAGGAGGAACACCGGUGGCGAUGGCGGGUCUCUGGGCCGAUACUGACGCUGAGGAGCGAAAGCGUGGGGAGCAAACAGG
rnacentral:rRNA from 1 species